rnacentral:misc_RNA from 1 species
UCCGGUUUGUCACCGGCAGUCUGGCGUGAGUCCCCAACUUAAUGCUGGCAACACGCCACGGGGGUUGCGCUCGUUGCGGGACUUAACCCAACAUCUCACGACACGAGCUGACGACAGCCAUGCACCACCUGUGAAUCUGCCCCGAAGGGAAAGUGUGUUUCCACACCUGUCAGAAACAUGUCAAGCCCAGGUAAGGUUCUUCGCGUUUCGUCGAAUUAAACCACACGCUCCGCUGCUUGUGCGGGUCCCCGUCAAUUCCUUUGAGUUUUAAGCUUGCGCUCGUACUUCCCAGGCGGAUGACUUGUCGCGUUGGCUGUGACCCCCACCGGCUUUAACACCAGCAAAGGUCGAGUCAUCAUCGUUUACGGCGUGGACUAC